CAUAAUCGAAUUUGCACCAAGUCCAACAACAAAUCACUGUUCAGUUUCUCAUUUUUGAAAAUUAUUUCAUUUCGCAAUUCCCACAUGCAUAUACACCCACCGACCCACAUAACAGCAUGGACAAAGCAUACAAGUAUCACUACUAAAAAAAAGUGAUUUAGCGAGGGAAUGAUAUCCCUCGCUGUUAGCGACGGAAUGCGACGAAACUCAGAAAUUCCUCUCACACUCUCAUGGCCGCAACGCGUUCUCUGCUUCUUGCUACUCCUCUUCACCUUCUCACUCUCUCAAAUCUCACCCACGCUCUUCGACCCUUCUUCCCCGCCACUCCACAUGUCACUUCCGCAACCGUCCUCUUCUCGGCGGAGCUCGAAUCCUUCAAUGUUUUCGCGACGGCGCGGUCUCCUCCGAUGUGCUGGAAUCUCUUCUCUUUCGGAGUCCGACUCGAACUGUGCUUGCUGGAAUUGUGCUUUUAACUGCGCAGCAUCGCUGAAUCAAAACCAGAAACCCUACCAGGCGAAUUUGAAUCAUACAGAACGGAAACCCUAGUCGAAAUCAUUGGAGAGCGAUGGCUUCCCACAUUAGGUUAGCCUUUUGGGAUGGCAAGAGUAGUGCUGAGGAGCUGAAGAAGGUUUCUGCAGACCUUAGGUUAGUCAUUUGGAAGCAGAUGGCUGAGGCUGGAAUCCAGUAUAUUCCAAGCAACACCUUCUCAUACUAUGAUCAAGUAUUGGACACAACAACCAUGCUUGGGGCAGUUCCUCCUACUCCUAGAUAUAGUUAGAACUGUGGGGAGAUUGGCUUUGAUAUAUACUUCUCCAUGGUAAGAGGAAAUGUAUCUGUACCAGCUAUGGAAAUGACCAAGUGGUUUGACACCAACUAAUUCAAGCAAGAAUUUGGCUAGGAGAAGUAGUGCAGAUCAGAUUAGAUGACUAGCAACUCCUUAUUUCAGAACUACUUGCUCAUGGUUUGCAAAAGCAUUGUGUGCUUAUCGUCAAUACCUGGUGCCACUCACAUCGCCUUUCUUCCAUCUCAGGUUUGGGUUGGAACUUGCGGUUUCAUCUCCUCUAUAAGCCUCGACAUCUCAGGAUAGAGGGAGCAAUCUGCUUUGUGUUUCCCUUCUGUGGAUGUGAAGCCUCUUGAAUCAAGAGGUACAUUCCUAUCUGUUUAUGUUUGAAGCUUCUGAAGGGUUUGACACAUGUGCUUGUGGGUAAAUAGUGACGGACUGUCCCGUCGGAAUGAGCGACGGAUUCACGUGAUAAUCCAGCAAACAGUUUAGUGACAGAAAUAUAUAAAUUAGCGACGGCACAUUUCCGUCGCUAUCAGCGACGGAUUGAUAACGACGGAUUUAAGAAUCCCUCGUUAAUUAUUUAGCGACGCCACUUUGCACGACGGAUAGGGUUCCGUCGCAAAUUCCGUCGAAAAAUUUUUUGCGACGGAAUUUUCCUUAUUUAGCGACGGAUUUUGUCCCUCGCUAAUUUGCUUUUUUUUAGUAGUGUAUUUACAUACGGGUUGUCUAAAUGACUCAUGAUAAAGUUUGGGUUAAAUAACCCAUCAUCCAAUCACAUUGGAGAUAAGUAAGUUGGAA